UGGGUCUGCAGGGGAGACACGAGGGGUUAAACAUCUGGGAAAUGACAUACAGGAGGAAAACAACACACAAAGGGUACACUUGGUGAGUAAUGAGUCACAUGGAUGCUUCUGGCUCCACACAAGAGUUUAUCUCUUUUCCAGUCACAAAAGGGUGACCAGACACAAACCUUCCUCACACCCAGAGCCUCUGUGGGUGCUUAGGCUGCAGUGGAGCCUUUCAUGUUCCACAUCUUUAUGCAGCACUGACCAGCACAGCCUGAAGGAACCUGCCCUGCCCCUGCCUCAGCUCCAGACCAUUUUGCUGGUUCUACACAAGGGCCACUAAAAUAAAUCACCAAUGGGUUAAUCCCACAUGGUCAGAUUGAAGUGCAGAGAGCCAGAGAGAGGGCAAGGUGAUGGGGCUGAGCUGAAGCAACCAGGGGAUGUGGCCAGGAGCCCUUUGCUGUCAGGUGGGAAACUGCUGACUGGCCAUGGGAGAGCCUCUGGAGAUCAGAGCCUGGCAGGGCUGGGCAAUGCAGAAGCAGCAGCAGCAGCACAAGCCCUGGCAGGGGACAGCAGGCUGAGCUGCCCAGGAGUCCCCUCUCCAUGCAGAGUCACCAUCCCUCAUUUCACCUCCCUCUGCUACGCAGGGCCAAGCUAAUAAAGGCACCUGGGUGUUCAGGCAGGAAAGAGACUCAAAAGCAAUGAGGUGUAUUAAACAUUGCCCAACACCUGCUGGACACCUGCACCAAGGGCAGAGCAAGGGGCAAGUGUUUGUAGGGUCUGCUUUCAGAAAUCUGGGAGAAGCCUUCAAAUGCAUCAUUGUCUCUUGAUUUCUGCAUAAAAAGCCUUUUCAUAUCACUGCAGGCAACUCUCGUAGCAAAGGGCUCAGAACACAAUCACUGACAAGGCUGCUUGGGCAUUUCAUAGCAACCACCACUGUUUUGGUGAGGCAAACACAUGCAGCAUGAGCUCAGGCUCAGAAGAAGCUCACUCUGCUGCAUUAAUCAUCAGGGUAACUCGCCAAAUCGCAAUAAAAGCCCCAAACCCAAGUUCAUCAGCCCACAUAAUUUUCCUUUUUCCAUAAAUCUGGUAAUUCUCAGUUCCUCCUCUCCUAUCAAAUCACAAAAGAAACCUCUCUGUUUGCAGACAGACCCACACCCUGUCUUUUCAGCAAUUACCACUUCUGGGGGCUCAGUGGAUUUUAACCUUAAAACUUUUUAUCUGGGAUUGCCUUCAAACAUCUAUUUUUUGGAAAAGCCAUAAUUCAUUUUACAUGUUUAACAGAAAAUCUACAGAAGAGGAAGGUUGGCAAAAGACACCAAACACAUAAUGCUUUGCUAACAUCUGAAUCCAGCCUGGAAGAGUGAGGUUUACUCCAGCAAUUAUGUUGCUGAAAUCCUUCCUUCCAGAUGCAGGCCUGGAUGGAAAGAUGGCUCAUUUAUUUUACUUAAAUUUCCAACCUGUUGGCACGCAGCGACGUCUGAUUAGCAAAUGAAAGAGGUCUGCACGUUUCAGAGCACAAAACAAGCCUGGAAAAAUGCAAGGAGACAGGAAGACAGGCUCUACCAGACCUGCAGAAGCAGUGGCUCCAUGUGCAUGGAGAGUCUAAUCCUGCAUGUGCACCACCACCUCUACCUCCACACCCUCGUGGAAAUCCUAGAAAGCACCCGGAGCCAGCAGCUGUGGAACAGGAAGCCAGGCAGCAGUGGUGUUACAGCUUCACAGCCAGAACCUGGCACACACAACCCCUGCCAAACACCUCUGUGCCACCUCUGGGAGGGAGAGCUGGAGAUCUGGGACUACCCUGGGAACCAGAGGAAACUCUUCUUCCAUCCUGAAGUAAACUUGAACCAUCAUCCCUAGACCAGAGACUGAUGAUCCCUGACAUUUUUCUGUACAAGCCAAACUUCAGUAGGAAUUUGGUACCUCUUAAAACCCAGUCCUAGAAAAAGCCCAGGUGCUGCAGCAUCCUGCACUGGCCCCUGCCAUGUGAGGAGCUUUGUGCCACCACUGCAAGUGCCUCACACCUUCCCACUUCCUCUAAAUGGGUUUGAACCCCAAAUGGGUUUAGGCCCAUUUCUUACCAAAGGCAGAAGUGUUUUCACAGAUCAGCUCUAGCAGAGGCUUUGCUAACACACCCUGCUGCCUGUGCUUCUGCACACCAGCACUGCAUUUCCAUCCAUUCUGCCUCUGCUCCUCCCAAGCUGCCAUGGAGCUCACCCAGGGCUGCAGGAGCAGAGUUUCCCUGCACCAUCUGAGCUGUGCUGUGCUGUGCUGGCUGGAAAUGCUGCUCUUGCCCAGAGGUGCAGGGGUCUCCCUGUGCCUGCUCUCAGGGCACUUCAUUAGAGCUGGGCUCCCUGCUGAAGCCACAUGGGCUGGGAGCAGCUUUCCAGGCUUCAUCCUUCAUAUACUUCAUCCCAGGACUGCUUGCCUCAGUCAUGCUCUGGCACAGCAGGAAUCCAGAGCCAGCAUUUUUUGGCUGAAGCACCAGGACUGUGAUGGAAAUAUAAAGUGAAACAUUUUCUGUUGCUUAAUUUAACUACCAAUUCAAUCUAAAUUUUAUCCAUGUUCCUUUCAUGCUUCCUGUCUGCUCGUGCUGCCUCUUUCCAGCCUGCUCAGAGGGGGUCCUGUCUGCUGCAGCAGCCACAUCUGGCUUGUUCCUGCUGGCACAGAGCAGCCCAGGGCCAUUCCCAGAGCAGUGCCAGGCUGCUGUCAUGCAAGGCACUGCUACAAUGCCCUGCUCUGUGCUCAGCGGCACAAGCAGAGAUGCUGCACUGGCUUCCAAAAACGCAGCACUGCACACCAGCCCAGCUGGGCACUUCAGGAUGGUCAGAGGAAAGCUCAGCCCUGAGUCCUGGGGGAACAAGAUCCAGCAUUCCCUAUUCUCUGGGGCCAUUUGUAAAACUCUUGAGAAAUGUGUUAAAUUUCCUGCAAGGAUUUCUUUAAAGUUGUUUUCUUUUCCAGGCCUAAAAAGUUAAGGAUAACUGGGAGCAGCAACAGGUUCAGGAAAGGGAAGGAAAACAGCAGCCUAGAAGCACUCAACCCCAGUUUGUUUCUCACCAUGUGAGGAGACAGUGAAAAUAGAGCUUGUUUUGCCUACUGAAGCACACAAGCCCCCCUUCUCCAGCCUGGAUUAUCCAGUUAUGUCAUACAAAUCCCCUUCAAGGUCUGACUGGAGAACUGAGGGCUGCCUUGGCUCAGGAUGAUGACACCUUCAAAGCCACUGGGGUGCAGGGAUGUUUGCCAAAAUGUAUUACCUUCCUUUAGCAUUCAAACCAUGCUGUUUCAUGGAAAACACAUAAGCUAUGAAAACUUCUCCCUGUUUUACAGGAAACAGACUCUGCAAACUCCUCCUGAUGUAGGAUGAAACAUUUACUGUCUAACAUUGCCAUUUUAAUCAUUAGUUAACAGCUGUGAAUUCUCAGCUUAACCAUUCCCUCCAUUCAUGCCUAGCCUGACAUAUUCUUUUAACUUACUGUGCUCAACCCCUGAUUUUAUACCCAGUCCAACUGAAUAUAAAUGCAUCUUAAUCCCACUUCCCUUAUUCUGCCAACAAUAGCUCCCUAAUGCCCUGCAGCAGAGCAGCCCCAUGUGCAGCAUGGUCCCUGAAGACACAGCUGCCCAUUCAGGGUGUGCAGGCAGCUCAGCUCCCCUCCCACUCCAUCCCCUGACACAUUUUCCUGCCUCAUUUUCCAUCAGCCCUGCACAAAGCUUGACAUGUUUGCAGCAGGCACAAGGAAGAGGCCUCAUCUCCCUGUGCCUGACUCCCAGCAGGAUGGCCCAGACUGACUGAAACAAAAGUGAGAAGUUAAACAGAUUUUGUUCAGCAGCAGCUGUCUGCUUUCCCAUCUGUUGGGGUUUUUUCCUGCCCAUCAAGAGACAAUGAAAGAACCACAAUAAUAAUGACAACAUGCAUUAUGAUAAAGGGGAUGGAAAUGGAAUGCCUAAUUCACCUAGGAACACUCCUUACAGGUGAGUAAGAUCCCUCCUGCUAGUCCAUGUUUGUUCAAGGCAGAGAGGUGUUGCAGCUUCUGAAGCAGAUAAAUUGGCUGAGGUUACAGUGCAGAGCAGAGGAAGCCACAAUCAUCAUCCCUAACUCUUGGUUUGCAAAGCACAUUCAUGCAGGGUAAAGAAAUGUGAUGGUGGACAAAGAAACCCUUACCCUGAACAGCAGGCCAAAGCCUCCCCCUGCACCAGCAGCAGUGCCUGGCACAGAUCCUGCCAGUCAGACGUGCUGACCUGAAGGCUUUGGGUCACCAGGUGCUCCUGUGCUUUCCCAGGAGGUUUGGAAGGGGUGCACACCCUGCUGAGCUGCCCCAGAGCCCCAGCCCAGCGUGCCCUGCACUGACAGCAAGGCUGUGCCACUCAGAGGAGAGCACAGGGCCACGAGCCAACAGCCACAGGCAGCAGAGCAAGGACAGCUUCUUUGGGCUGAGGGUAGAGGAGAUGCAAACUGCUUCUCUUCCAGCAAAAACACCAAAAGGCAAGGUGAGUUCCCUUUGCUGUGAGCUCACAGGGUCUCCCCACACCCUGGUGAGAUCCAGGACAAAGCCAGGCACUGCAGCAAGUCCUGGUGACGUGACAAGUCACAGUGGAGCUAAGGGACAACUCACUGUGAGAUGGGGAGAAGAGCUUCUGCUUCCCUCACCCCUGAGCUGCACAGGCUCUGCAGAAAUCACCUCCCUCCCUCUGUGCCAGCCCUGGAGCUCACUGGAUCUCCCUGAGGGAAUUCCACCUGCUAACCUGGCAGAACACUUCUGCAGCUGAAACAGCAGCACGUGCCAAAAGCAGGGAGGCAAUCCCAAGCUUAAGAGAAGAACCAAAUGGGAUGGAUGCCAUGGAUGCCAUGAGGCCACAGCAGUUUCUGCAGAAAUACACCCCCUCCCACAGUACUGACCCUCAGCACAGUGACCUUCAGGAGCACAAACAGUGCCCUCAGCCUGAUGAAAAGCACGAGAUAACAGAAAACCACUGGAAACCUUUAAAGCUAAAACUUCACAUUCCCUAAAAAACCUCACAUCCCCUCCUGUGCACACAAAGAACAAAACUACAGAGAGAAGUCCCACCUUUGCUAUUUUUUUAAAGGCAAAGUGAAUACAUUUUGACAAUAUUUACAGUUCAGAGUACAACAGCUUUUAUCACAGCACAGUGGAACAAAAGCCCACCCACAUUUAAUGAGAUUAAUUGCUGUAUUGAUUAGAUCUUUUGUAAUUACAAAGCCUGACCACUUCAGGGCAGGGAUUGGAGUCACGUCUCUUAAAAGACUGAAAAACAAAAAAAUAAUACAAGAAGCCCAACAUAGGUAAAUCAAGUAGAAGAGAAUGUACUGAUACAAAAAUACAUAAAAACUCGCUCUAAUCUAAACUUCCCUAAGAAUUGUCACACUUUGCUUCACCAAAAAGCCACAGCUUUUCCCAGCAUCAUCCUCCAUCCAUCCCAUAAGGCUGAAAGGAGGAUGAAAGCAAGCUGUGCUGGUGAUCCUUAGGACCCCACCACAGACAGGUGAGCAGCAGGGGGAAGGGACACACUCUAAAAAACACUUGAGCACUCCAUCAGCUCUGGUGAGCAUUUAUUGCACCCUUGUUUCAAGGCAAAACUGCAGCACUAAGUGACAGACACUUAUUUAUGUAUUUUAAACAAAAGUAGGACGUCUGAGAACUACCAGAACUACUGAAGGAGAAGUAUUAAGGCAAGUAAUUAAUUUUAAAAGGAUUACUGAGAAUGUCUCCUGAAGCUACUGCAGCUAUAAUAAAAUUAAUGCUAUGACUUCACCUUCAAUUUUCAGGAUACUUAUUUGUCUGUAACUAGAGUGGAGUCCUGCUCUUCCCCUGCCUCCCAAGGCUGCAGCUGACCAGUACAUGCUACUGGAAUUAGACCUACAUCAUUACUUAUUUUUAUCUCUGAUCAUCAUCUCUGUGAACCUGUAAUUACAGCCAAUCCUUCCCUCAUAGCUGUGCUGGAGUGCACAGUGAUGGAAAUCUCUAUAUCUGAGCAGGGGCUAAAGCCAUGGAGCCACCAAGGCACCCAAGUCUGAAGGCCAGAAACAAACACCACGAGAUCCAGCCAAAGAACUCUGCCUGUGCUUCCUUUGCCACUCUGAGCCACAGCCAGAGGUCCAGGCUCCUCCAUCUGGGAACAGAGCAGAGUCAGCCAGGAGACCUCACUUUAUUGAGCUCCUUCCUGUGUUCCACCAGUUCCCAGAAAUGCCACAAGCCAUGAUCGAUGCACAAGCAAAACAGCUCACAAAUCCCAAAUCCAUAUUUUAUUAACACAGUUCUUUACUCUCAGAAGCUAAUGCAGUGACACGUGGACUUCUGCUGACCCCAUGCUGAGCCUGCUUCCUCCAAAAGCCUUUUAACAAUUCCAGUUUUACAGCAAAACCAAGUGAACAGACAGAUUGCUUUUAAAAACAGAUUGGGAGCGUGGAGCAGAUGGAAUAGAAUAAAAUCAAAUGUGAUUGAGAGGAAUCCACAAACUUGAUUCAGCCCUACCAAUUGGUAACAGCUUGGAACAGACCAAAUGGAGUUUCAGUUUUCCCUACUACAUCACACCAUGAAAAGAAACGUUCUAAUACUUCUUUUAGGACUGUGCUUUUCCAGCACAGAGCAUCCUCUCACCUUGAACAUCCCCACAGCUUUUUGGCACGAGGACAUAAAACAAUACAUCAUAAGGCUGCAAACACAGUAACUGCAACUUGUAAAUGUGCAACAGCAGCUCCUGGGCGAGUGCUCCAGGAGCAGCAGCAUCCCUUGUGAGCAGCAGAACAAGGAGCUCUGGGCAGGGCCCAGCUCACCUCCUGC